rnacentral:rRNA from 1 species
AACGAACGCUGGCGGCAGGCUUAACACAUGCAAGUCGAACGCAUCCUUCGGGGUGAGUGGCAGACGGGUGAGUAACGCGUGGGAACGUGCCCUUCAGUUCGGGAUAACCCAGGGAAACUUGGGCUAAUACCGGAUACGUGCGAGAGCAGAAAGAUUUAUCGCUGAAGGAUCGGCCCGCGUCUGAUUAGCUAGCUGGUGGGGUAAUGGCCCACCAAGGCGACGAUCAGUAGCUGGUCUGAGAGGAUGAUCAGCCACAUUGGGACUGAGACACGGCCCAAACUCCUACGGGAGGCAGCAGUGGGGAAUAUUGGACAAUGGGCGCAAGCCUGAUCCAGUCAUGCCGCGUGAGUGAUGAAGGCCUUCGGGUUGUAAAACUCUUUAGCCCGCGAAUAAAAUGACUGUAGCGGGAAAAUAAGCCCCGGCUAACUUCGUGCCAGCAGCCGCGGUAA